AGAGAGAGACAUGCGCGCAUAUCAAUAAGCGGAGGAAAAGAAACUAACAAGGAUUCCCUUAGUAACGGCGAGUGAAGCGGGAAGAGCUCAAAUUUGAAAUCUUCAAGGUUUUACCUUGACGAAUUGUAGUUUAAAGAAGUGUUUUCUGCUGAAGUUUUGGUAAAAGUUCUUUGGAAUAGGACAUCAUAGAGGGUGAGAAUCCCGUAUUUGACCAUUAUUUUCAGCUUUGUGAUACACUUUCAAAGAGUCGGAUUGUUUGGGAAUGCAGUCCAAAAUGGGUGGUAAAUUUCAUCUAAAGCUAAAUAUUGGCGAGAGACCGAUAGCGAACAAGUACCGUGAGGGAAAGAUGAAAAGAACUUUGAAAAGAGAGUUAAACAGUACGUGAAAUUGUCAAAAGGGAAGCGUUUGACACCAGUGUUGUUUUCUCGAAAAUCAAUUAAAAAUGGCUCGAUUUUGUAUUGCUUGAGACCUUAAAAGCUCACUGUACAUUUUUCGUGUCUUUUUUAAUGCACUUUUCGUUUAACAAGUCAACAUCAGUUUCUUUUGUUGUAAAAGGGUCAUUGGAAGGUGGCUUUCUUUUCGGAGAAAGUGUUUAUAGCCCUUGGCCUCUGCAAUCGGAGAGACUGAGGUCUGCAGCGUAGACUCUUCGGGGUUAGAUACAUUUGUGCUAAGUUAUAGCUUUUUAUAGACAACUUGUUGACUAUAAUUAGUCUUGUAGCUUACUCGCUUAUGCUAUUUUACCUACGCUUAGGAUGUUGAGUCGUAGAGCACGCAG
rnacentral:rRNA from 1 species